GCUUUGUGCUCCCUUAUAUGUCUAUAUUAAUAUGACUCGGCGCAGCUGCCUGCAAUGCCCUCACGUUUAAAAAAGACUGCAAAAUAUAUUGUCCUGGUGAAGGUCUUGUUAAGCGUUUUCCUCCGGCUGACUUCGAAUUAUGGAAAAAAGAACCAAUGGAUGAAAUAAAUCUCUAGCCGCAUAACCCUGUUUGCUGGAAUUUGGAGAACGUUGGCAACAGCAAGCGAUGAGAAAUCAGCCACUGAUGUUGCUCUCCAUCUUGGCCGGCGCCCUGUUGUGCCGAGAAACAUAUUCUUAUGAGUGCCAGCCUCUCGAAAGCAGCAGUUACUACAGUUUUAAUGACAUGGCCCAUUUCGUCGUCUCGGAGCAGAGAAAUGUUACCUUCUAUAACACGGUCCUCCAGGUCACAUGUGUAUGUUCAGUGAAUGACCUCGACCAAUUCCACGAGAUCGUAUUCACCAUCGCACCAACUUACUGCAACUCUCGUAUCGACUACUACAGUGAAGUCUGCAGACCCAUCACCACAGAUGCAAUCGGGAUAUGCUGGGCCAUGGUGCGAGGGCAGCUGUCGGACGAACAGUGGUCUCUUUCUGCCUUCACCUGCAUGCCUCCUGAUCAACCAGAUGCCUUUAGCUCACUCUGCCAUUAAAUUGAGUAAUUACUCAGCGCUAAACUCCCUGCUUGUGUCCGUUCAAUGCAAGCGUCAGCACUAAAAACGCAUUCCAUGUCAUUGCGGACCCUCUAAAGCUCCAGGCGCGGGCUGGGAAUGCGCCCAGACCGAAAAGCACGGUGGCGUUGGCACCGAUGCGCCGACGGCGUGCAUGCGGCGGUACCUCCCAUGCACAUUGGAAUAGAUAAUAUUUAAUCAAAACAAAACUUGGUAGCUCGGACCUUCAGGUCAUGUGAUGAUCUCAGCGAUGGCCCUUUGCGAAAACAAGGAACGUACGUCUAGCGUCGUCCUUCAAGUGUCUGCAGUAAAUUGGCUUUGCGAGCCUGAACAGUUCCAUAAGCUUCAAAUACAUACUUCUCACUUCCGACUUCAUACUUCCGACUCUAAUUCUCCAAGGCCACCAUCAUCGUCCUCUUCUUCCCACAUUACCGACUGUGACAAUAUUAUUUGGGUCGAAAAAAGAAAAGAGUAAAGAACAAACACAAUAAGAACCCCUGUUCGAAGCCGCCAUCGCUGUUGUCCCUGGUUCCUGCUUGCCUCGACAGAGCGACCGUUUCGUUGACCUGCAGUGGUGUUUUGGCUGAGUAUCGGGUGGUUUAAGGUGUCUCAAUAAGCGUAUUUUAGUUCCUGGUUGAUUGGCAUUCCUUGCGUCAGCCGUCUUGAGCUGAUGUCGACCAGUUCUCCUGGCCAGGCGCGAUCCGCCUGGACAGCAUCCCUGCCACCUAAUGAAUUGCCCAUAGAUUUAUUUUUUCGCAGUGGCGUCAGCACCAUUCCUGUGGCGCUUGUGCCUACCAGUGGAGGCUCCAUCAGGAUCACGAAUCCACAGGCUGUCCAGAAGGCACUCAAGGCCACGUCUAACCACUUCCAGACCAUCACUGAUGUACGAGCGUUCGGACGGGGAGGUAUAGUGUGUCGUUCACCCGACCAGACCUGUGUAGAAGACCUCUUGAAAUGCACUUCAUUCGCUUCCACCCCGGCACCUAAUUAAACCGCCCGAUUCUUGGCCAAUCCCCCACUGUGGGUAUGUGCCACGGCCACUAAGGACAACAACAACAACAACAACAACUGACUCAACCACUGAGCGACGCCGCAUUUCAGUUAGAGCAGGACGCAUGCGCGUGUUUUAUCCCUAUCUCCUAGUAUACUUAGCUGUUUGUGCUUUCGUAAAUAAACUCCUGUAUGGAA